AGUGAACGCUGGCGGUAGGCCUAACACAUGCAAGUCGAACGGCAGCACAGUAAGAGCUUGCUCUUACGGGUGGCGAGUGGCGGACGGGUGAGGAAUACAUCGGAAUCUACUUUUUCGUGGGGGAUAACGUAGGAAAACUUACGCUAAUACCGCAUACGACCUACGGGUGAAAGCAGGGGAUCUUCGGACCUUGCGCGAUUGAAUGAGCCGAUGUCGGAUUAGCUAGUUGGCGGGGUAAAGGCCCACCAAGGCGACGAUCCGUAGCUGGUCUGAGAGGAUGAUCAGCCACACUGGAACUGAGACACGGUCCAGACUCCUACGGGAGGCAGCAGUGGGGAAUAUUGGACAAUGGGCGCGAGCCUGAUCCAGCCAUACCGCGUGGGUGAAGAAGGCCUUCGGGUUGUAAAGCCCUUUUGUUGGGAAAGAAAAGCAGCAGGUUAAUACCCCGCUGUUCUGACGGUACCCAAAGAAUAAGCACCGGCUAACUUCGUG
rnacentral:rRNA from 1 species